UACGUAGGGUGCGAGCGUUAAUCGGAAUUACUGGGCGUAAAGCGUGCGCAGGCGGUGAGCUGCGUCCGAUGUGAAAGCCCCGGGCUUAACCUGGGAAUGGCAUUGGAAACUGGCGCGCUGGAGUGUGGCAGAGGGGGGUGGAAUUCCGCGUGUAGCAGUGAAAUGCGUAGAGAUGCGGAGGAACACCGAUGGCGAAGGCAGCCCCCUGGGCUAACACUGACGCUGAGGCACGAAAGCGUGGGGAGCAAACAGG
rnacentral:rRNA from 1 species